AUCCGGUGUUUAUCUCUAUUUGUUACGCCAUAUGAACGUGGAAAAUUAUAUUUUUCUGUAACAAAGAAUACGAAGAGAAAACAUAAGAAUGGCAGAUAACUUCACAACGUCUCUUUUUAAAUUUUGUUCAUAUCGAAGAAUGAAGAUAAUGCGGAAUCUCCUAUCAAUUCUUAUUCUGUUCGACCUAUUAACCGGUGCCGGUUGUAAAACUAGUUUCCAAAAAAAGGAAGAAUCUAAAAUGGAUACGCACGGCUAUUCUCCAAGUAAACUUAGAAAGCUAUUUUGAAGCGACAUCCAUUGGUACGUUAGAGCUGACUAUUGGCUUUUUCUACUAGAAAUUCGAAGAUCCCUAUGAAUUAACCAAUUUUUCCGCAACAAAGAAACAGGAAUUUAAAUUUGACAAUUCUAAAACAUUGAUUGUUAAGAAAUUAAUAGCGAUAAAUUCCAAGGGAGAAAAUUUGCUAUUAGACAAUAUACUGAAAAUACAAAUGCGUUUGAAUGAAAAAUAAUGUAAAUAAAACAUUACACAAUGAACUGUAUUUAGCGAUUAAUAAACAAAAUACUAAAUCAAAGUAUUUUCUAAGGUGAAAACACAAAAUAUCAUUAACAAAAUAAGAUAUUAUAACAAUAAAUCAAUAGUAAAGCUAAUUGAAAGUGAAACGAAUAAGUUUCGAAUGAACAGGAUAUUAAAUGUUUUGAUUUCAAAGAAAAAAUUAAUGUAGAGUUCAGGAAAAACAUCUUGUAUUCAUACGUUGACCUACUUCCAUAUGAUCGCUUUCUCCAUCACGAUUGAAAAGAAUUGGACGAAAGAGACGUGCGUGAUGAGGAACCACUUCGUUUAUGAUAGGUUCCUGCUAGAUUCGUGUUUAUGUACGUGUAAAAGAGAGAAUUAAAAGGAAGUCCAAAAGGAA